rnacentral:rRNA from 1 species
GAGUGAACGCUGGCGGUAGGCCUAACACAUGCAAGUCGAACGGCAGCACAGUAAGAGCUUGCUCUUACGGGUGGCGAGUGGCGGACGGGUGAGGAAUACAUCGGAAUCUACUUUUUCGUGGGGGAUAACGUAGGGAAACUUACGCUAAUACCGCAUACGACCUACGGGUGAAAGCAGGGGAUCUUCGGACCUUGCGCGAUUGAAUGAGCCGAUGUCGGAUUAGCUAGUUGGCGGGGUAAAGGCCCACCAAGGCGACGAUCCGUAGCUGGUCUGAGAGGAUGAUCAGCCACACUGGAACUGAGACACGGUCCAGACUCCUACGGGAGGCAGCAGUGGGGAAUAUUGGGCAAUGGGCGCAAGCCUGAUCCAGCCAUACCGCGUGGGUGAAGAAGGCCUUCGGGUUGUAAAGCCCUUUUGUUGGGAAAGAAAAGCAGCAGGUUAAUACCCCGCUGUUCUGACGGUACCCAAAGAAUAAGCACCGGCUAACUUCGUG